rnacentral:rRNA from 1 species
CCUACGGUGGGCAGCAGUGAGGAAUAUUGGUCAAUGGGCGGGAGCCUGAACCAGCCAAGUCGCGUGAGGGAAGACGGUCCUAUGGAUUGUAAACCUCUUUAGGCGGGGAGCAAAGCCGGGCACGUGUGCCCGGAGGGAGAGUACCCGCAGAAGAAGCAACGGCUAACUCCGGGCCGGCAGCCGCGGUAAUACGGAGGAUGCGAGCGUUAUCCGGAUUGAUUGGGUUGAAAGGGUGCGUAGGCGGAUUUUUAAGUCAGCGGUAAAAUGUCCGGGCUCCACCCGGGCCGGCCGUUGAAACUGGGGAUCUUGAGUGGGCGAGAAGUAUGCGGACUGCGUGGUGUCGCGG